rnacentral:rRNA from 1 species
CGUGUAGGCGGCCAGGUAGGUCUGCUGUGAAAACUCGAGGCUCAACCUCGAGAUGUCGGCAGAAACCAUCUGGCUAGAGUCCGGAAGAGGAGAGCGGAAUUCCUGGUGUAGCGGUGAAAUGCGCAGAUAUCAGGAAGAACACCCGUGGCGAAGGCGGCUCUCUGGGACGGUACUGACGCUGAGACGCGAAGCGUGGGAGCGAACA